rnacentral:rRNA from 1 species
ACUAUGCUUGGCCCUAAACCUCAGUAGUUAGAUAACAAAACUACUCGCCAGAAUACUACGAGCUAUAGCUUAAAACUCAAAGGACUUGACGGUGCUUUACACCCCCUAGAGGAGCCUGUUCCGUAAUCGAUAAACCCCGAUCCACCCCACCCUCUCUUGCUCAGCCUAUAUACCGCCAUCUUCAGCAAACCCCAAUGAAGGUCACAAAGUGAGCGCAAACGCCACCACCGCGAAUACGUUAGGUCAAGGUGUAGCCUAUGAGAUGGUAAAAAAUGGGCUACAUUUUCUACCUCAGAAAAUUCCACGAAAGCCCUUAUGAAAUUUAAGGGCCCAAGGAGGAUUUAGCAGUAAAUUAAGAAUAGAGUGCUUAAUUGAACUAGGCCAUAAAGCGCGCACACACCGCCCGUCACUCCUCUCAAAUAUAUUUAAGGAACAUCCUAACUAAACGCCCUAAUAUUUAUAUAGAGAGGAUAAGUCGUAACAUGGUAAGCGUACUGGAAGGUGCGCUUGGAUAAAU